GUGGACGUGGGUGGGAC
rnacentral:miRNA from 1 species